CUGACUGUGAGCUGGGUCAAACAGAGUACCACUCAAAAGUCAAAAGCAGAAGGCAGUAUCUGUUGUCAGAUUGUGGGAAUGUAGCCAAAAGAUCAGUAACAACAGAAAAAGCUGGGAAAGGGAGAUGACAGUGCCAACCUCGCAGAGUGAGGAGGAGGGAAAUGGCAGUCAAGAAACCAGCAGCUGACACAGAGCAGGCAGGUAAUCAGUGAUGGUCAUUAUCCCUUCCCCU
rnacentral:lncRNA from 1 species